UCUGUAAGGAGCAGUGGAGAGUUAAGAAGAGAGAAUGCCGGAAUGAGUAGCGAGAUUUAAGUGAGAAUCUUAAAGGCCGAAUAUCUAAGGUUUCCAGGGUAAAGCUGAUCUUCCCUGGGUAAGUCGGGGCCUAAGGCGAGGGCGAGAGCCGUAGUCGAUGGAUAACAGGUUGAAAUUCCUGUACUGCUUAUGGACAGAACUGUGGGGACGCAGAAGGAGAGCACGAGCCGGAAAUGGAAAAGCCGGUACAAGCGUAUAGCAGUCAUGCAGGCAAAACCGCAUGAAAAAUGUAAAGCGUUAUGUGGAUCGAACAUUAGUAGGGAAGCGUGUGAGCCAGCUGCCAAGAAAAGCCGCUAUUGUUUCAUAAGUACCCGUACCGUAAACCGACACAGGUGGAUGAGGAGAGAAUCCUAAGGCCGGCGGGAGAAGUGUUGUUAAGGAACUCGGCAAAAUGACUCCGUAACUUCGGGAGAAGGAGUGCCACAGAGAUGUGGCCGCAGAGAAAUGGCCCAAGCAACUGUUUAGCAAAAACACAGGUCUAUGCAAAACCGAAAGGUGAGGUAUAUGGGCUGACGCCUGCCCGGUGCUGGAAGGUUAAGAGGAGAGGUUAGAGCAAUCGAGGCUUUGAAUUUAAGCCCCAGUAAACGGCGGCCGUAACGAUAACGGUCCUAAGGUAGCGAAAUUCCUUGUCGGGUAAGUUCCGACCCGCACGAAAGGCGUAAUGAUUUGGGCACUGUCUCAACAACACACCCGGUGAAAUUGAAAUACCAGUGAAGAUGCUGGUUACCUGCGCCAGGACGGAAAGACCCCAUGGAGCUUUACUCCAGUUUGAUACUGGGAUUCGGUACUGUCUGUACAGGAUAGGUGGGAGGCUAGGAAAUGGUGACGCCAGUUGCCAUGGAGCCAACCUUGGGAUACCACCCUUACAGUACUGGGUUUCUAACCUGCAGCCGUAACCCGGCUGGGGGACAAUGUCUGACGGGGAGUUUGACUGGGGCGGUCGCCUCCGAAAGAGUAUCGGAGGCGCUCAAAGGUUCCCUCAGAACGGUUGGAAACCGUUCGAAGAGUGCAAAGGCAGAAGGGAGCUUGACUGCGACACCGACGGGUGGAGCAGAUACGAAAGUAGGACUUAGUGAUCCGGUGGUAUAAAGUGGGAUUGCCAUCGCUCAACGGAUAAAAGCUACCCUGGGAUAACAGGCUUAUCACUCCCAAGAGUUCACAUCGACGGAGUGGUUUGGCACCUCGAUGUCGGCUCAUCGCAUCCUGGAGCUGUAGCAGGUUCCAAGGGUUGGGCUGUUCGCCCAUUAAAGCGGUACGCGAGCUGGGUUCAGAACGUCGUGAGACAGUUCGGUCCCUAUCCGGCGUGGGCGUAGGAUAUUUGAGAGGAGCUGUCCUUAGUACGAGAGGACCGGGAUGGACAAACCUCUGGUGUAUCUGUUGUUUUACCAAAGGCAUGGCAGAGUAGCCAAGUUUGGCAGGGAUAAACGCUGAAGGCAUCUAAGCGUGAAGCCCCCCUCAAGAUAAGAUAUCCCAUCUUCGGAGUAAGACCCCUUGAAGACUACAAGGUUGAUAGGCUUCAGGUGUAAGUGCGGUAACGCACUCAGCUGAGAAGUACUAAUAGGUCGAGGACUUACCAA
rnacentral:rRNA from 1 species